CUCAGACCCAGCCCCACCCCCCGAGUCACAUUCCUGCAUUCCUCAUCCCCGCCCUCCCGUCCGCCGGCCGCCCCUGCGCCCCUCCCCGGAUGAGUCAGAGCCCGUCCUCCCGGCCGCUGGACGUGCCCCCCGGGGCCCACCUCGGGUGUCUGCACCCAAGCUUACAUGACAGAGGCCCACCUGGACGCAGGGCUGUUUUCUUGGCCGACAGAAACCCAAAGGCGUGCUGGUGGUUUAGAGGCAUGAAGAUAACGUCAUCAUUUUUCCAAGGGGGAAAAAAAAAACCUGCCUUUGGUGUGUUUAACCUGGGUUGACAUGCUCAUGCUCAUGCACCCUGUCUCUACAUCUUUUCUCACCCCACCCCCCCUGCCGACCUGACUGCCAAUUAGCACAUUUCCUUCUGGCCACGGCCUCGGGGCCAGUGGAGGGUGUGGACCCCGGGCCAGGGCAAGCAGCAGGACCUCAGGGGUUCUUCUUGUGGAUCAACAGGAUGCUGGAGCUGUUGCAGCUGUUUUGGCACCUUGAGACGCUUUGGCGUCAAGAAGCUCUGCUUUCCGGAAUGAAAAUUCAAUGAAUCCAGAAAGCCCCAGAUGUCCCGGAACUCGUCCCUGACGGCCGUCUACUGGACCGAGAGGGGGACAGUACUCAUUUCAGAGCAGGCUUCUUGCUCCGCACCCAUCGUGCCAGCUGAACGGCAGGACGCGGACGAGGUCUGACCGUGGUGGACAGACCCCAAUGUGGGCUUUGUGGACCAGCCUGGAAAAUGGGUCUACAAACAGAACCUGGACACCCCACGGAGACGGGAACAGGAAGCAUUCAGUGCUGGGCUUGCCGGGGUCAGGAAGCGGCACCAUCGUAGCUCGCUCCGGCUGCCCCAACAAAAGGCCACCCGUGGGGCGGCUUAA
rnacentral:lncRNA from 1 species